GCUGACACAUUCUGGCCAAUCUCCAGCAGACCCUCCCUCCCAGACCCUCUCACCUCCUGGACAGCAUCCAUGUUGAAGCUGCCUUCAACAUGGAUGCUGUCCAGGAGGUGGGAGGGUCUGGGAGGGAGGGUCUGCUGGAGAUUGGCCGGGAUGUGUCAG